AUAAUCCCUGCGGGGGAAAGAUUUAUCGCUAUUAGAUGAGCCUAUGUUAGAUUAGCUAGUUGGUAAGGUAAUGGCUUACCAAGGCUAUGAUCUAUAGCUGGUCUGAGAGGACGAUCAGCCACACUGGAACUGAGAUACGGUCCAGACUCCUACGGGAGGCAGCAGUGGGGAAUAUUGGACAAUGGGCGAAAGCCUGAUCCAGCUAUGCCGCGUGAGUGAAGAAGGCCUUCGGGUUGUAAAGCUCUUUCAAUAGGGAAGAUAAUGACGGUACA
rnacentral:rRNA from 1 species